rnacentral:rRNA from 1 species
AACAGCGGAGAGUUUGAUCCUGGCUCAGGAUGAACGCUAGCGGCAGGCUUAACACAUGCAAGUCGAAGGGCAGCGGGGGAGGAGCUUGCUCCUCCCGCCGGCGACUGGCGCACGGG